CAUCACUCCUUUUGUGUUUGCCAGGAGGAAACACAUGGCAUUAGUCUGCCUGCAGUCUACACAGACAAGAUCAGUGGCUGCUCCUGGUCAUCAUCCUGAUGGUAACACUUGGAACAUUACAGUAGAUAAUAUCCUUCAAACAACUUGGAGGCUGCUGAAAUGUGGAUUGCAAACACAACAGAUCUCAUGGAUGUUUGCCUAACAUGGAAGGUCCCUGGCAGACCAGCACACAGCCAGUGCAGUUCUUUGGUUU
rnacentral:lncRNA from 1 species